rnacentral:rRNA from 1 species
UUGGAAGUAAAAAUCGUAACAAGGUCUCCGUUGGUGAACCAGCGGAGGGAUCAUUACCGAGUUUACAACUCCCAAACCCAAUGUGAACGUUACCAAACUGUUGCCUCGGCGGGGUCACGCCCCGGGUGCGUCGCAGCCCCGGAACCAGGCGCCCGCCGGAGGAACCAACCAAACUCUUUCUGUAGUCCCCUCGCGGACGUAUUUCUUUACAGCUCUGAGCAAAAAUUCAAAAUGAAUCAAAACUUUCAACAACGGAUCUCUUGGUUCUGGCAUCGAUGAAGAACGCAGCGAAAUGCGAUAAGUAAUGUGAAUUGCAGAAUUCAGUGAAUCAUCGAAUCUUUGAACGCACAUUGCGCCCGCCAGUAUUCUGGCGGGCAUGCCUGUCCGAGCGUCAUUUCAACCCUCGAACCCCUCCGGGGGAUCGGCGUUGGGGAUCGGGACCCCUCACACGGGUGCCGGCCCCUAAAUACAGUGGCGGUCUCGCCGCAGCCUCUCCUGCGCAGUAGUUUGCACAACUCGCACCGGGAGCGCGGCGCGUCCACGUCCGUAAAACACCCAACUUUCUGAAAUGUUGACCUCGGAUCAGGUAGGAAUACCCGCUGAACUUAAGCAUAUCAAUAAGNCGGAGGAAA